AGGCGUGAGACUGACGCUGGGGGGAGAGUGGAAAAUCUCAGAGUCACCAACCCCCGAGCAAAUGGCAGCAGGGGCCGCGCGGUUGAAUGACCGAGGCCGGAGGCCGAAGGACUGCCUCUGCGCCGCGGUGAGCUUCCCGAGGCAGUAGGGGGAGCUUGACACCUAGGAAGGCCGGGGGCUCGGAGAAUCCAGAACUGCCUGACUCCGGAGAGAGGAGAGUUCAGGGUGCGCGCUCAGCGCCGCGACUCCGGGGUCGCAGGAUCCCAGGAAAGGCACGCUCUGGACCCAGAACUCCUGUGGACCCGGCGGGGCAGCGCCCAAAAAGCCAGAAACCAAAGCUCGUCCCCGGGCCUGGAGAGCAUGGGUGUGUGUGUGUGUGUGUGUGUGUGUGUGUAGAGAGAGAGAGAGAGAGAUGGUGGGGGGGCCGCUUGGACCCUAUCCUCCCCCCCGCAAAAAAAAAAAAAAAAAGAAAGAAAAGAUUAGAGCUCUUCUCUGCUUGAUUCCUUGUGCGCUUUAGGCAGCUCAGUCCCGCUGCUCAAGUUGGGGAGACAAAAGGGAGCGGUGCGCACUGCGGGGAUCCGCGCCAGGAUAGAGGGUCCCUCCACCCCGCGCCUCGGCGGAGCAGAGCUUGAAACCCAGAACCUCAGACGGCGUCCACCUGGUCGCCCCAACGAGGCCGAGAAUGGGAGCCCAGAUCCUGACCUGGCCGGAUUGGUAGGGGCUUCUGGAUCCCGGGCCCCGGUGCUCUGUCCCGCGGCGCAGACCGGGAUAGACUGCAGACUGCGGAGAAAUCGGGACGUGGAAAAGCAGCCGCGGCGCCAGCCAGCCGCGGGUCCGGCCUCUGGAGAGAGGAAGCAGCCGGGCGGGGAGGGGGUUGCCUGGAGGGGUAGGCUGGUGGCUGCCUCUGGCCCUCGGCAGCCAGAAGAAGAAGCGAAGAGCAAAACUCCUUUUCUCCCUAGGGACAAGAGGGCUCCGGCGCGCUCUCCUCCCCAGGCCUGGGAAACAGGUUCUCAAGCGCCCUCCGACCUCCAAUCGAUCCCAGUCUCCCGCCUGCGACAGGGGAUGCUUGGAGAGCGAGGAGAGGGACGCGGGGAGCGGCACCUCCCCCAGGCCGAGGCUGGGCGGCCGAGUCCGACCUGCGCCGCUCU
rnacentral:lncRNA from 1 species